GGGUUUGAUCCUGGCUCAGAACGAACGCUGGCGGCAUGCCUAACACAUGCAAGUCGAACGAAGGCUUCGGCCUUAGUGGCGCACGGGUGCGUAACGCGUGGGAAUCUGCCUUUGGGUGCGGAAUAACUCAGAGAAAUUUGAGCUAAUACCGCAUAAUGACUCCGGUCCAAAGAUUAUCGCCCAAAGAUGAGCCCGCGUAGGAUUAGCUAGUUGGUGGGGUAAAGGCCUACCAAGGCGACGAUCCUUAGCUGGUCUGAGAGGAUGAUCAGCCACACUGGGACUGAGACACGGCCCAGACUCCUACGGGAGGCAGCAGUGGGGAAUAUUGGACAAUGGGCGAAAGCCUGAUCCAGCAAUGCCGCGUGAGUGAUGAAGGCCUUAGGGUUGUAAAGCUCUUUUACCCGGGAUGAUAAUGACAGUACCGGGAGAAUAAGCUCCGGCUAACUCCGUGCCAGCAGCCGCGGUAAUACGGAGGGAGCUAGCGUUGUUCGGAAUUACUGGGCGUAAAGCGCACGUAGGCGGCCAUUCAAGUCAGAGGUGAAAGCCUGGGGCUCAACUCCAGAACUGCCUUUGAAACUAAAUGGCUCGAAUCUUG
rnacentral:rRNA from 1 species